rnacentral:rRNA from 1 species
UAGGGAAUCUUCCGCAAUGGACGAAAGUCUGACGCAGCAACGCCGCGUGAGGGAUGACGGCCUUCGGGUUGUAAACCUCUUUUAUCAGGGACGAUAAUGACGGUACCUGAUGAAUAAGCCACGGCUAACUACGUGCCAGCAGCCGCGGUAAUACGUAGGUGGCAAGCGUUGUCCGGAUUUACUGGACGUAAAGAGCGCGCAGGCGGUCGUUCAAGUCGA